rnacentral:rRNA from 1 species
GACGAACGCUGGCGGCGUGCCUAACACAUGCAAGUCGAACGGAACUGUUUUGAAAGAUUUCUUCGGAAUGAAUUUGAUUUAGUUUAGUGGCGGACGGGUGAGUAACGCGUGAGUAACCUGCCUUCAAGAGGGGGAUAACAUUCUGAAAAGAAUGCUAAUACCGCAUGACAUAUCGGAAUCACAUGGUUUUGAUAUCAAAGAUUUUAUCGCUUGAAGAUGGACUCGCGUCCGAUUAGUUAGUUGGUGAGGUAACGGCUCACCAAGACCGCGAUCGGUAGCCGGACUGAGAGGUUGAACGGCCACAUUGGGACUGAGACACGGCCCAGACUCCUACGGGAGGCAGCAGUGGGGGAUAUUGCGCAAUGGGGGCAACCCUGACGCAGCAACGCCGCGUGAAGGAUGAAGGUUUUCGGAUUGUAAACUUCUUUUAUUAAGGACGAAACUUGACGGUACUUAAUGAAUAAGCUCCGGCUAACUA